UACGGGGGGGGCAAGCGUUGUUCGGAAUUACGGGGCGUAAAGGGCGCGUAGGCGGUUCGCUAAGUUGGAUGUGAAAACUCUGGGCUCAACCCAGAGCCUGCAUCCAAAACUGGCGGGCUAGAGUUCUGGAGGGGGUAGCGGAAUUCCUGGUGUAGCGGUGAAAUGCGUAGAUAUCAGGAGGAACACCGGUGGCGAAGGCGGCUACCUGGACAGAAACUGACGCUGAGGCGCGAAAGCUAGGGGAGCAAACAGG
rnacentral:rRNA from 1 species